rnacentral:rRNA from 1 species
CGGAGGAAAAGAAACCAAUAGGGAUUGCCUCAGUAACGGCGAGUGAAGCGGCAACAGCUCAAAUUUGAAAUCUGGCCGCAAGGUCCGAGUUGUAAUUUGUAGAGGAUGCUUUUGGCGAGGUGACUUCCGAGUUCCCUGGAACGGGACGCCAUAGAGGGUGAGAGCCCCGUACGGUAGUGACACCGAGCCUCUGUAAAGCUCCUUCGACGAGUCGAGUAGUUUGGGAAUGCUGCUCUAAAUGGGAGGUGUAAGUCUUCUAAAGCUAAAUACCGGCCAGAGACCGAUAGCGCACAAGUAGAGUGAUCGAAAGAUGAAAAGCACUUUGAAAAGAGAGUUAAAAAGUACGUGAAAUUGUUGAAAGGGAAGCAUUUAUGACCAGACUUGGGCUUGGUUGAACAUCCGGCGUUCUCGCCGGUGCACUCUGCCAGCCUAGGCCAGCAUCAGUUCACGCCGGGGGACAAAGGUAGCGGGAAUGUGACUCCCUCCGGGGAGUGUUAUAGCCCGUUGCGCAAUGCCCUGGGGUGGACUGAGGAACGCGCUUCGGCACGGAUGCUGGCGUAAUGGUCAUCAAUGACCCGUCUUGA